rnacentral:rRNA from 1 species
GUCCAUGCCGUAAACGAUGUCUACUAGCCGUUGGGCCUUUGAGGCUUUAGUGGCGCAGCUAACGCGAUAAGUAGACCGCCUGGGAGUACGGUCGCAAGACUAAACUCAAAUGAAUUGACGGGGCCCGCACAAGCAGCGGAGCAUGUGGUUUAAUUCGAAGCAACGCGAAGAACCUUACCAGGGCUUGACAUUUAGGUGAAGCGGCGGAAACGUCGUGGCCGAAAGGAGCCUAAACAGGUGGUGCAUGGCUGUCGU